rnacentral:rRNA from 1 species
AUUGAACGCUGGCGGCAGGCCUAACACAUGCAAGUCGAACGAGUGGCGGACGGGUGAGUAAUGUCUGGGAAACUGCCUGAUGGAGGGGGAUAACUACUGGAACCGGUAGCUAAUACCGCAUACCAUCAGAUGUGCCCAAGUGGGUUUGGCUAGUUGGUGGGGUAACGGCUCACAAAGGCGACGAUCCCUAGCUGGUCUGAGAGGAUGACCGGCAAAACGGGAACUGAGACACGGUCCAGACUCCUACGGGAGGCAGCAGUGGGGAAUAUUGCACAAUGGGCGCAAGCCUGAGGCAGCCAUGCCGCGUGUAUGAAGAAGGCCUUCGGGUUGUAAAGUACUUUCAGCGGGGAGGCGUUACCCGCAGAAGAAGCACCGGCUAACUCCGUGCCAGCCGCCGCGGUAAUAC